AAGCUGGGGAAGCCCUGAAGGUGGAUCUGCUGAACCAUCCAGAAUACAUAGAACAGAACGCCACCCUAGCCUUCCAGGCUGCGAUUUGGAGGUGGAUGACCCCAGUGAAGAAGCAGCAGCCCUCGGCCCACGACGUCUUUGUAGGGACCUGGAAGCCCACCAAGAACGACACUCUGGCCAAGCGGAUUCCUGGGUUCGGCGCCACAAUGAACGUUCUGUAUGGCGAUUCUGUCUGCGGCCAGGGUGACGUCGAUUCCAUGAACAACAUCGUCUCCCACUACCAGUACUACCUUGACCUGAUGGGUGUCGGCCGUGAGGAAGCAGGGCCUCAUGAGGUUCUCACCUGCGCCGAGCAGGAGGCUUUCAACCCGUCAUCUUCUUCAUCUUCUUCUUCAUCUUCUUGAGCUCGAUCUUUGCGAUGGUAUUAUGAUAGUAAAAAUGCCCGUGUUCUUUGGUAUUCUAUUUUGUUUGUUAUGUACGUGAGAAAGCACAUAUUCGAGUCCAUAUGUAUGUAUAAUCUUCUUCUCUGAUUUCUCUUCAAUGAUCAGGAUUGCUUUGAGCACUUCACAAUUCUAAUUCGUUAUUUCUUGAUGCCAUUUUCACGAUCAUAAAUCUAUAUAAAUGUCUCUUAAUCCAAAAAUUUGAAAGCUUAGAUGGGCUUGAGCCCAUUUUGGGAGCCCAAUUAGUUGUCCAAUCUCAAAUCACAUAGGGGAAGCCUAAAAGUAAACAUUUGAUUCCUGGACUAAUGCUCUUAAUCUAACAGAUAAAGUCAAAAACGCCCAUCAUAUCUGAUUUACUUAAAAAAUAUAUUAAAAAUGUAACUUCAAUUUUGAAUCUUUGAUCACCUCCAUUCUUCCAUUUUUAAAUCAACUAGAAUCUUCUUCUCAAAAUGACCAUAACACCCUUUCAAUUUCUUGAUUGAGAGUAACCUUAGGCGAAAGUUUUAAGGAAGGGAUUUUGUUUCUUUCCCUUAAGAAAACCUUAUCAUUAAAUAUAAUACACAAAUAUUUUUUCUUUUUCAUUUUUUUAGAAAGGUUAUAUUAAAUCACAUGCCAUUUAUUAUUAUAAAGUAAUGUGUAGGUUUGUCCUUUGCUGAAUUAGUUGGCAAAAAUUUUAAUUAUUUUUUUUUUCAUUUAUUUCUUCUAUUUUCCCUUUUAUUUAAUUUUUUUAUUUCCCAUUUUCCCCAAAAUUUCUAAAGGAAUGCUUGAGACUCACGGCUUCCAAUAUAUUCUACUUUUUAUAUAUAAAUUCAUUUAUUAAGAAUCAAAUGCUUCCCAAAGUACUCCGUUUUUUUAUUUAUAUUUUUAUCCAUAUUUUAAUUCAUCUCUAAAUUCUUCUUAAAACAAUAUCAAUCAAAUAGGUUUUUUCUGCUAAUUUUUUUUUAUAAACAAAAGAAAAAAUUUAUAUAAUAAACACAUGGAUAUAUCAUACUCAUCCACUACAUAAAAUAUCAUGUAAAUGUAUAUGUGAUUGUCAUUCUUUUUUAAUCAAAUUCCGAUGUAAAUUAGAGUAAUUUUUAUAAUUUAUUGUUAUUUAAUUAGCCUUUUAAAAAAUUGAAUUAGAAGAAUUAUCCAAAACAUAUUUAGAAUUACUUUAGGCUACAUUUGGUUGAUUCUUUUUUUGUCCUAUAUCAUGUUAUAUCCAUGAUUUUAAAUAUGACCAUUUAGGCUAUAAUUGAUUCAUGGAAUAAGAUAAGAUAGAAAAUGAUAUAUAUAUAUAUAUAUAUAUAUAUAUAUAUAUUAAAAUAUCAUAUUUUAUUUGAUAAAAAAUAUAUAUUUAAUAAUAUGAUUUUCAAUGAGAUAUGAUAUAUUUUGUAUGCAUAUUUUAUGGAUGUAAUAUUUUAAGAUAACAUAUUUAAUAAAAUAUAUUAUGUUAUAUUAUGUUUAUAUUUAAUUUAUAAAAUAAAUAAAAAAUAGUAUGAAAUAUAUUUUAUUUUUAAUAUUUAAAAUAAAUUUUAUAUCAUAUUCAAAUAUUUUGUAUUUUAAAAAAUAAAACAUUUCUUAUAUUUAACAAUAUUCAUGACCAAAAUAUUUAAACUUUAUAAAUAAUUUUUUUAAUGUUAUCUUAUAAUAUAUAAAAAUAAAUUAUAUAUCAAAUAUAAAUAUUAUUUUAUUUUAAAAAUAUUUUUUUUUAGUUUUUUUAUUUUUAACCAUAAAUUUAAUCUACAAUAAAAAAAAUUUAUUUUGUAAAAUGAAUAUAUAAAAAAAAAAUAAAAAAUAAAUUUAUGAUAUGCUAAUAUGAGAUUACUAUACUGUUAAAAAAAGAGAGUGGAUAACAUAUUUCAACAUAUGACAUUAUAUAUGAUGAGUAAUUAAAUAAUAUAAUUACGAUGUAAUAUCUCUUUUUUUAUCAUAUAUCAUUUAGGUAAUCAAAUAUGACAUAAUUAGUAGUUUAAUAAUAUUAUUUCCUUUUAUGUGAAAAUAGAAACCUAAUCAUUUUAUAGUCUUUUUUGUGUAUAAGUAUUCUGUAUCAGGCUGAAGUCUGGCGAUUUCUGGAAAGUUUGUUGUGGAAAUGUAUUUUAUUCUGCCUUCUACGGUAAUAAUCCAAGCGUCCAAACAGCCGAAAUGGACCGCAAAAGCUGUAACCAGAGCUAGUGUGGUUACAGUCAAUCCCCACCGUCGAUUCUUGCGGCAGUGGGUCCCAUUUGAUGUAAAAUUUAAUCGUGGAUUUAUUUUAUCACAGAUUGAGAACAUUUUGGUCAUUUCCAUAUUCAACAUGCUCAACAUAUAUAUAAAACUAUAAGUGGAGGGUGACCACGUGGCAACUCUCUCCACGUUGAUUAUAAAUACUCGCAAUUCACGAGAGUUGCCAUAUUCACAACCGAGGAGAGGUAGAUAGUGAGGGUUUAGAGAAGAUGGUGGUGGAGCGCGACAUAGAUGAUCUACCGAAGAACGCAGCGAACUACACGGCCUUGACUCCGCUGUGGUUUCUGGAGAGAGCAGCUGUGGUGCAUCCCAACAGGAAGUCAGUGAUCCAUGGAUCUUUGCAGUACACGUGGCUCCAGACUUAUCAGCGGUGCCGCCGAUUGGCUUCCGCUCUUUCUAAGUAUUCCAUCGGCGCCGGCAGUACGGUACUUCGGUUUCUCACAUCUCUAAAAUUUUCAUUCUUCUGCUUGGUAGAUGAGAAAAUGAAAGAAAAGAGAAGAAAAUAUGAAAAUCUUUUGUUGGUUGCUGUCUUGAAAGCGGGGUGUUUUUCUCCCUUUCUUAAAAAGGAAGGGUUAGAUUCACAGUAUGGGAUUAUCUUAUCCUUUUAACCAAAUAAUAUAUAUUUUUUCUUUCCCUCUGAAAAUAGGCGGUGAAUUUAAUUGAUUCGUUUAUUUAAUUACCACGUUAAUUAAAUCUUGUGCUGAUUGAAUAUGAAUCCAGUUCGUUGGCUUGAAUUUAGACCAUUUUUUUUUUUUUUUGGUUGUAGAUCUGAUUUUUUUAUUCUGUUUUUUGAAAUAUAGAAGUAAAAGUAAUUUUUAAUCACUUGUGUCAAAAUCAACAUGAUUGUUGUGGUUCUGAAUCAUUUAGUCUCAGGUGUUAUUUAUUCAAAAGUUGUGGAAAGUCUUAAAAAAGUUUAUUGACAUUUUGAUUUUGAAUUUUCAUUAUUACUUUUUCCUUUUAAGAGUUGUUUAUUCUAGUUUCAGACAAGAGGUUAUGUUAUCAUGCUCAGUAUCAUUAUUCCUACUAUUGUCGCUCUAUUUUGGGUUAUUUGAUUAAAAGGGUUUUUAAAAACAUCUUUAUAAAUACUGGAAAUGAUAAAGAAUAUUUACAUAAAAAAAAAUGGUUUACUUUAAAAAAAACAUGAAAAUAGUUAGAUUCACAAUUUAGGGAUUAAUUGAUUCAUUUUAGUAAAAUAUUUCUUAUAUUUUAGAAAUUGUUUCAGGAUAUACGAAAUUUUGGAGCAUGAGUUUUGAGUAUGUUUAUAUAUUUUCCUUUUCGAUUUAAAUAAUAUUUAAUUUUUUUAAGGGCAUGUUUGCUUAAGGAAAUCAUUAGGACCAUCUUAACUUGAUUUUAGGCAUCAAAACACAAGAUGGGUCCCACAACCCAGUUGAUAUUUAUACUAAAAUUUAAAUGGAAAAUGGAAAUUAUGGAACAAAAUUUUAAGAUAAUAACAAAAAAAUUUAAAAUAAAUUUAUAUAUUUAAAAUAUAAGAAAUACAAGAUAUAAUUGUAUUUUAAUUUUGGGGGGUUAGUUUAAGUUUUCUGCAGGUUUUCCCUUUAGAUUGAAAAACCGUAAAUUGGGUAUGUUGGAGUAUAAAAAAGAUCACCCAAUCUCGUCCAAAUGUCGGGGUUGAGUUUAGAUUAGUUCACACUAACCCACCUAAGUUGUAAGGUUAGGUGUUGUUUCUUUUUUUUAACUUUUUGCUAAAAGUGACUUGGUUUUGUUGAACUACCAAUUUUCCUAAAAACUGAAGGAUUUUGGCCCAAUAUGCAUAUUGACACCUUCCCUUAUGUGCAGCCCAUACCCACAUGUGGAGAGACAUAGAGAGAAAGGGGAAGAGAGACAAACAAUUGCAAAUAACCUUGUUUGGGUUUCCAAACAUGUAAAUGGGGAAACAAAUAUACAAAUUGCGAAAAGGCAACUCGAACGCAUAACCUCUCACAAAACCAAGUUCUGAUAUCAUGUUGAACUACUAAUUUUUUUAAAAACCUAAAAUACUUUUGUUUUUUUUACUUAUUUCUUAAAUUUUUGACUGAGUAGAAAAAACCAAAAUAUUUAAUUUUCUUUUUAAUGCUAAAAGUAACCUAUUAGUUUUUCUUUACUAGUUAAUACUUAAUAAAAAUAAAAUAUCCAAAAAAACAUAUAACUUAAUAUUUAAUACUAUUAAAUACUAUUUUAUCUUAAGUUUGAUUUAGAAUAAAGUAAGAAAACAAGUACCACCCUAGUUUAAUCCACUUAUCAUACAAUUAUUCAAAAAUAUUUAGCACUUUAUCUACUUAUUUUUAUUUUUUUCAAUGGAAAAACCAAUAAAAAUAUUAAUUAUAAAUACACAAAAUAAAUAAUACAUAUGUUUAUUUUUUUUAUGAAAGGGAAAACUAAUAAAUUAGCAAAUCCAAAAGACGGUGAUGGAGAUAAUAUUUAUAUAUAAAUAAUAACUAUUUUAUACAAAUAAUAGCUAUUAAUAAGCUUUGUGUUAUGGUUAUAAUAAUUUUGUUAUUCUUGACAAAUUAUAUUACAAAAAAUAGUUAUAAUCAUGGUAUAAUAUAUUAUUUUUUUAUUCCCAUUAUAAGAAGUUGGAUUAUUCUUUAAUAAGUUUUUCCUCAACUAUGAAGAGAUUAUAAUCAUUUUUGCUCUCUGCCUGUAAAAAUGUUAGUACUUUUAUUAUUUGCUUAUUAAAAUAGCCAAAGGGCAAUAAGUUGUCUUCAUCUCACUCUAUGUCCAAAUUCACUGGCAAUAUUAUUACAAGCAUAAGAGCAAGAGUAAUAAGGCUGCAUUUUAGAAAAAAAAUUGCUGAAGAUUUUUACCUGGCUUGUUUGGAUAAUUUAGCGAACAGAUGGUUCUGCUUGUUUCCCUCCCAAAUUCCAUAUUCUCUUCGGAUUUGGCAUCAUUUAGGGCUUAUAAUCCAUUUCAGUUUCUUGAGUUACUUCCUGAGUUAGUUUCCCUUUGGGAAAUUAUUCUCAUUGCUUGGUUGUCUGGACUGCUUGAAACUUCUUGUUCACCUGACUCAUGAAAUCAAAGAGUAACGCAAUUGCCUUUGUCAUUGUGUGUGUACUUUGAUUUUGGGAUCCUCAUCCCUGCUCCUUUCAUCGUAUUCAUCAUUGUAAAAAGCAUGGAAUUUUCUAACAUUGUUCCACUGGACCUCAUGAGGUUUUAUAAUGAUGGCCAGAAUUAUGAAUCAUUGAUCAUUCUGUUUUCCCUUCAUCCUAACUUUGUAUCUGAUAAAUUGCCUCUAUGUUGGAUUGGAGCUAGUUGGUGGCUGAAUCUUAGUGUUCUGAUUAUACUUCUAGGUAGCAAUAAUUGCACCAAACAUCCCUGCCAUGUAUGAAGCUCAUUUUGGGGUUCCCAUGUCUGGAGCGGUGGUGAACUGUGUUAACAUUCGUCUAAAUGCACCGACAAUUGCUUUCCUUCUUGAGCAUUCAUCGGCAGCAGUUGUAAUGGUGGAUCAAGAGUUUUUCCCAUUAGCAGAGGAAGCUUUGAAAAUCUGGUCAGGGAAAAGCAAAAAUGAUUUUAAGCCUCCCCUUCUGAUCGUCAUAGCUGAUGAAAGCUGCGAUCCUAAAGGACUAGAAUAUGCUUUGAGGAAAGGGGUCAUUGAAUAUGAGCAGUUCCUGGAAACAGGAGACCCUGAAUUUGCAUGGAAACCACCACAGGAUGAGUGGCAGAGUAUUGCUUUAGGGUAUACUUCUGGAACUACAGCCAGCCCUAAGGGGGUAGUGUUGCAUCAUAGGGGAGCAUAUGUCAUGGCCCUCAGUGGUGCUCUUGUAUGGGGGAUGAAUGAAGGAGCUGUGUACCUAUGGACACUUCCAAUGUUUCAUUGUAAUGGCUGGUGUUUCACUUGGACACUUGCUGCUCUUUGUGGGACUAACAUAUGCCUUCGUCAGGUACUUCUGAAUCCUUUGUUUUUGCCUCAAUAUGUUGGAGAAUUCAUGCUUAUCUUAAUAAUGUCUUCAAUAUGUUGAAAUGCUUUGCCAAACACUACAAGGCAGUUUGAAAACAGUUGCAGGCCGCCAAAAGGGGUUUGCUAAUGUGAUCAUGCUCCUCUGCUUUGUACAUUUUUGUAGGUUGCAACCAAGGCAAUUUAUCAAGCCAUAGCCAACGAUGGUGUAACCCACCUCUGUGCUGCACCAGUGGUCCUCAACAGCAUAGUCAAUGCCCCCAAAAGUGAAACCAUCCUUCCCCUUCCACGCGUGGUCCAUGUAAUGACAGCUGGGGCUGCUCCGCCCCCUUCUGUUCUCUUUGCCAUGUCCCAACAAGGCUUUCGUGUCACCCAUACCUACGGACUCUCAGAAACCUACGGCCCCUCCACAGUAUGUGCAUGGAAGCCUGAAUGGGAUGAACUACCACCUGAAACUCAAGCCCGUCUCAAUGCACGCCAAGGUGUCCGAUACAUCGGCUUGGAGGGCCUAGAUGUGGUCAGCACCACAGACAUGAAGCCUGUCCCUGCCGAUGGAACCACCAUUGGUGAGAUUGUGAUGCGGGGUAAUACUGUGAUGAAGGGCUACUUAAAGAACCCGAAAGCCAACGAGGAAACUUUUGCAAAUGGAUGGUUCCAUUCAGGUGAUCUUGGCGUGAAGCAUCCAGAUGGGUACAUACAACUUAAGGACCGAUCAAAAGACAUCAUCAUCUCUGGAGGCGAAAACAUAAGCAGUGUGGAGAUUGAAAAUGCUGUAUACCUGCACCCUGCAGUGCUAGAGGCAUCAGUGGUGGCAAGGCCAGAUGACCGCUGGGGGGAAUCGCCUUGUGCUUUCGUGACGUUGAAGCCAGGGGUUGAUAGGUCCGAUGAAAGACGCCUGGCAGAAGAUAUUAUGAAGUUCUGCCGGUCCAGGUUGCCGGCUUACUGGAUUCCAAAAUCUGUGGUGUUUGGACCAUUGCCCAAGACAGCCACUGGGAAGAUACAGAAGCAUCUGCUGAGGGCCAGGGCGAAGGAGAUGGGAACCCUAAAGAAGAGCAAGCUGUAGUAAUCUCUCAGGGUAGUCCAUGAAUGAAUAAAAAGAGGGAUCUUCUUGUUGCCGGUUAGUCUCCCUCGUACUCUGUUAAUUCAUUCAGUUUGGGCUAUAGGAUUUGUGGUUGGGCUACUAAUAUGGUUAUGCAUUUGAAGAAAAAUACUUCUCUCAUAUUCACCUUCCCCAAUUGGGACUAUCAUGUACUGUUACUUAUUUAGGAACUCGUUUGGACGACUGAGCCAAAGACCGGAUCAAAAAGCCCACCAUUAAUGAUCAACAUUUCAAUAUUCUAUUUAUAAAGUCAAUUUCAAAAUACAUAUCGAUGUGAUAUUUACAUGUGAAUAUUCAAUUAACGGAAAAUUCUGAUGAAUGUUAUCCCUAUCACAUACAGAUCAGGUUGGUCUGAAAUCUUGGACCGAUUUGAUGUGUUGAUGGUAUGGGCCAUGUCGUAGCCCAUUGACAUCUCUGUCCAAGCCCAGUAGCCAGGCCUUGAGAUUUCAAAGGUCAGAAUAGAAAUGGGCCUUGUGGUGGACCCAUCUAUGGUAGUUCCUAAUGUUAUGCUAACCAAAAUUUGGUGGAGUGGGAUAAGACUUAAGAGCAAUGGAGCUCCUUCAAUCCAUGUCUUUUAGAUUCUCUAUUUCAUUUGUUCUUCCUUUAAGGCUUGUUUGGUAUACAAGAAAUAAGAAUAAAAGUAGGAUGAAAACAAGGAUGAAUCAUAAUCUAAUGUAUAAUAAAGUAAUCAAAAUCUUAGUAUGAGUGUAUUUGGUUUUCAUGACAAUGAUUUUCUAUUUUCAUUCCAAAAAAAAAGAAAGAAAGAAAAAAGAAUAAAUUAAUGAAUGAGAAAUGAAAUUUAGAGUUUGUUUGAGCUUUGUUUUUAAAAAACAAUUUUUUUAUUUAUUUCUAUAAAUAAAAAAUUGUUUUUCAAAUUCAAAAACACAUUUGGUUUUUUUUUUUUGAUAAAAAAUAGUUUUUUGAAAACAUAUUUUAAUUAUUUUCAUUUGUUUUAUAAAAUAAUUCUAUAAAUAUGGAAAAUAAUUUAAAAUAAAGUAUUACAAGUAAAAACUAUUUUUAAAAAGCAUAAAAUAUAGGUUUAGAAUAUUUCAAGUUUUCAAACAGACUUUUAUACUAAUAAACAUUCAAAAACUGUUUUUUAAAAACUAUUUUUCAGAAACUGUUUUAAAAAUGGAAAAUGUUUCCAACAAGUGAAAGAUUUUCAUUCUCAUUCUUCAUUACAUUACAUGAUUUCAAACAUCAUUUUUAUCAUAGCAAUAGAGGACUUCAUUUGAAGAAGAUUCAAAUGAUGCAAUAGGAUUACAAACCAAAAAAAAAAAAAAAAAUUAGGGACCUGGAAGCCCACCAAGAAUGACACUCGAGCCAAGCGGAUUCCUGGGUUCGGCGCCACAAUGAACGUUCUCUAUGGCGAUUCUGUCUGCGGCCAGGGUGACGUCGAUUCCAUGAACAACAUCGUCUCCCGUUACCAGUACUACCUUGACCUGAUGGGUGUCGGCCGUGAGGAAGCAGGGCCUCAUGAGGUUCUUACCUGCGCCGAGCAGGAGGCUUUCAACCCGUCAUCUUCUUCAUCUUCUUGAGCUGUAAAAAUGCCCGUGUUCUUUGGUAUUCUAUUUUGUUUGUUAUGUACGUGAGAAAGCACAUAUUCGAGUCCAUAUGUAUGUAUAAUCUUCUUCUCUGAUUUCUCUGCAAUGAUCAGGAUUGCUUUUGAGGACUUCACAAUUCUAAUUCGUUAUUUCUUGAUGCCAUUUUCACGACCAG
rnacentral:lncRNA from 1 species